UGCAGUCGAGCGGAUCUUUGGGAGCUUGCUCCCAAAGGUUAGCGGCGGACGGGUGAGUAACACGUGGGCAACCUGCCUAUGAGACUGGGAUAACUCCGGGAAACCGGGGCUAAUACCGGAUAAUUCUUUUCUACACAUGUAGAAAAGCUGAAAGAUGGUUUCGGCUAUCACUCAUAGAUGGGCCCGCGGCGCAUUAGCUAGUUGGUGAGGUAACGGCUCACCAAGGCGACGAUGCGUAGCCGACCUGAGAGGGUGAUCGGCCACACUGGGACUGAGACACGGCCCAGACUCCUACGGGAGGCAGCAGUAGGGAAUCUUCCGCAAUGGACGAAAGUCUGACGGAGCAACGCCGCGUGAGUGAUGAAGGUUUUCGGAUCGUAAAACUCUGUUGUUAGGGAAGAACAAGUACCGGAGUAACUGCCGGUACCUUGACGGUACCUAACCAGAAAGCCACGGCUAACUACGUGCCAGCAGCCGCGGUAAUACGUAGGUGGCAAGCGUUGUCCGGAAUUAUUGGGCGUAAAGCGCGCGCAGGUGGUCUCUUAAGUCUGAUGUGAAAGCCCCCGGCUCAACCGGGGAGGGUCAUUGGAAACUGGGAGACUUGAGUGCAGGAGAGAAGAGUGGAAUUCCACGUGUAGCGGUGAAAUGCGUAGAGAUGUGGAGGAACACCAGUGGCGAAGGCGACUC
rnacentral:rRNA from 1 species